rnacentral:rRNA from 1 species
UACGUAGGGUGCGAGCGUUGUCCGGAAUUAUUGGGCGUAAAGAGCUUGUAGGCGGUUUGUCGCGUCUGCUGUGAAAAUCCGGGGCUCAACCCCGGACUUGCAGUGGGUACGGGCAGACUGGAGUGUGGUAGGGGAGACUGGAAUUCCUGGUGUAGCGGUGAAAUGCGCAGAUAUCAGGAGGAACACCGAUGGCGAAGGCAGGUCUCUGGGCCACUACUGACGCUGAGAAGCGAAAGCGUGGGGAGCGAACAGG